rnacentral:rRNA from 1 species
UACGUAGGGACCAAGCGUUGUUCGGAUUUACUGGGCGUAAAGGGCGCGUAGGCGGCCCGAUUAGUCCGCUGUGAAAGUCCAGGGCUCAACCCUGGAAUGCCGGUGGAUACUGUCGGGCUAGAGUCCGGAAGGGGCGAGUGGAAUUCCUGGUGUAGCGGUGAAAUGCGCAGAUAUCAGGAGGAACACCAAUGGCGAAGGCAGCUCGCUGGGACGUGACUGACGCUGAGACGCGAAAGCGUGGGGAGCAAACAGG